CGCAGAGGUGACAGCCGGUGGCUGCCGGGUGCUCUAUGACGCCUGCCCCAAGUCCCUGAGAUCUGGCGUAUGGUGGCCCCAGACCAAGUUUGGUGUCCUGGCCUCAGUGCCCUGUCCUCGGGGGGCCCUGGGACUGCGGGGUGCAGGUAAGGGGUAUAUGUUUGCGCAGGUGCACUGCCCCCUCCCUCUGCCUGAGGUCUCUAAAGACUACUCCUGACCACUCCAAGUCCCUGGAGCCCCCCACCAGGCCUGAGGUCUUUGCAGUCCCCUCCCCAGGUCCUGGUACCCCCUCAGGUCUCUCCCCACUGCCUGAGCCCACAGAAGGCCCUCCCCACCUGAUCUGGGCACCUUACCCAGUCCUGCCCGCUGCCUGAAGUCCCCUGGUGGCUGGGCAGGGGUUGUCUGUGCCUGCGUGCUCGCGGGGGUGUCUGUCUGUGCCUGCGUGCUCGCGGGGGUGUCUGUGCCUGUGCACGCCUCUGAGUCUGUCCCAGGGCAGGGGGUUCCUAGUUUGAGUCCAGUUCUCUCUUCGUGGCCACAGGCUCUCUAAGGGCCCGGCCAGUUCUCACACAGCCCCCACACCAGCACACAGACAAGGGAGAGAUGGCGGCAGGGUCCCCUCUGGGCAGUGGACAUUCACAGAACUCCCACCCCACUUCCCUUGGUCAUAAAAUACU